rnacentral:ncRNA from 2 species
UGUGUCGACGUGGGAGAGACCGGGCAUGCCCGGCGCCGAAGGAGCAACCGCCCCGGAAACUCUCAGGCAGAAGGACCACGGCGGCGAC